GGCCUCAACCUUCUGGGUUCAAGCAGUCCUUCCCCCCUCAGCCCAAGUUGCUGGGACUACAGGCACACAAACCAAUGGUCUGGACUUUCAGAAGCAGCCUGUGCCUGUAGGAGGAGCAAUCUCAACAGCCCAGGCGCAGGCUUUCCUUGGACAUCUCCAUCAGGUCCAACUCGCUGGAACAAGUUUACAGGCUGCUGCUCAGUCUUUAAAUGUACAGUCUAAAUCUAAUGAAGAAUCGGGGGAUUCGCAGCAGCCAAGCCAGCCUUCCCAGCAGCCUUCAGUGCAGGCAGCCAUUCCCCAGACCCAGCUUAUGCUAGCUGGAGGACAGAUAACUGGGCUUACUUUGACGCCUGCCCAGCAACAGUUACUACUCCAGCAGGCACAGGCACAGGCACAGCUGCUGGCUGCUGCAGUGCAGCAGCACUCCGCCAGCCAGCAGCACAGUGCUGCUGGAGCCACCAUCUCCGCCUCUGCUGCCGCGCCCAUGACGCAGAUCCCCCUGUCUCAGCCCAUACAGAUCGCACAGGAUCUUCAACAACUGCAACAGCUUCAACAGCAGAAUCUCAACCUGCAACAGUUUGUGUUGGUGCAUCCAACCACCAAUUUGCAGCCAGCGCAGUUUAUCAUCUCACAGACGCCCCAGGGCCAGCAGGGAGGGAAGACUGCUAUAAUAGAAACUACAAAUUUCGUCUCCUGCAAGCGCAAAAUCUUCUAACGCAACUACCUCAGCAAAGCCAAGCCAACCUCCUACAGUCGCAGCCAAGCAUCACCCUCACCUCCCAGAUCUGGCCCAGUCCAGCCUGAGGUUUCUGGAGCUGGGGUAACUUAUCUGUAACCACCCCAUCUAAAGGUACCCAA
rnacentral:sRNA from 1 species